UGUAUGAGCAAGAGCAGCUGCACUCCUACUAGGGCAAGUGAACUACCUCGAUCGCGUCCCGUGUGACUAAUGUUUGUCAAAUCUUCAUCGGGCGUGGUGCGCCUGCAUAGUUACGCUUUGUUUCUCAGCGCUUGAGCGUUCAUUGAUGUGAUUCUCUUGUGCGUUCCGCGCGGCUGCUUGUAAUACGGUCGUUCGCACUUCAGUUAAAUGUGGUCGACCACUUUUGCGUCGCGUAGAAAAAGCACGACUGGCUUUGCCACCUUUCGAAAGAACCGGCGCGGUAUUGGUUCUCCCUGAUGCUGUCGCGUGCUGCUGUUGCUGCUUGCCGGACGCCUUCAGCAUUUUUUCGGCUCGCUUUGUCUGCGCGUGUGCGAGUGCUCGCGCUCGGCUCGAUUUGUGUGUGCGUGCGUGCGUGUGUGCGCUCAGCUCAGCUCGCUUUGUGUGUGUGUGCGUGCGUGCGUGCGCUCGGCUCAGCUCGCUCUGUGUGUGUGUGCGUGCGUGCGCUCGGCUCGCUGUGUGUGCGUGUGCGCGCGUGCGUGCGCGCGCGCGUACAGUACAUGCCGGUUUGUAUGGGCCGGCGUGUUUGCGCGUGUCUAGUGCGUACGUGUUUUGUGAGUGUGUUGUCUGUGGGUCGCUGUGUGUGCGUGUACGUGUUAGCGUGUCUGCCUGCAUGCAUGUAUGUGUACUUGUUUGUGUGCAUCAAUGUGCGCGUGCGCGCUUUUGUGUCUGCGCUUUGAGAGUGCGUAUACUUGUGUGUGCGUGUGAGUGCGUUUUGUGUGCGUGCGUAUGUAUUGCAUGAGGCCGGUAGUUUUACUCGCAAUAAAACUCUUCCGAUUUGGUGCAGCGAGUGUUCCCGCCUGAAAGCCGAGUUUGGUUUCAAGCCACUCUGGACAACUGCUGUAUGAGGCGCCGUUUCUCGGGAGCACCAGUGGGAACGCGCCAGGUCAUGCAGAUGGCAGGAGCAAUUUCAUAAUGCCCAGCCUUGGUGGCCCCCAUCAAGAGCAAGCCACUUGCGUUCGCCUUCAGACAGAUGGUUAAUGUCUUCUUGAAAGCGGUUGAGAAGACAACAUUGAUGCAAGAUUCCAGCAAUGCCAUGCGCUGCGUUGGUCAAGAUGCUCAGAGAAUGGAGUCCCUGCACCUCGGGGUUAACCGUGAACAUUUCUUUUUCUUUUGGAAAGCUAAAGGCCAUUUGCUGCAUCACUUGCAUUUUUGCAGCUCGUAUGUGUACUAUAUUUUUCUAAUUUUGAAUCAAUAUUGGCUGUUCAGUAUAAAAAAUGACGUACAGCGUGAAGGACGACUGCAAGAGACACACUCCACUGACUUGCAACAAUAUUUUAUUGCGUUGCCACAUCGUGUGUGUAUACACAAGAGGAGUCAUGCGCAGAAGAUGAAAGCCAGUCACAAGGCGUGUUCUACCAGCAAGUCAUUGUA